GAUGAACGCUGGCGGCGUGCCUAAUACAUGCAAGUCGAGCGAACGGACGAGAAGCUUGCUUCUCUGAUGUUAGCGGCGGACGGGUGAGUAACACGUGGAUAACCUACCUAUAAGACUGGGAUAACUUCGGGAAACCGGAGCUAAUACCGGAUAGUAUUUUGAACCGCAUGGUUCAAAAGUGAAAGACGGUCUUGCUGUCACUUAUAGAUGGAUCCGCGCUGCAUUAGCUAGUUGGUAAGGUAACGGCUUACCAAGGCAACGAUGCAUAGCCGACCUGAGAGGGUGAUCGGCCACACUGGAACUGAGACACGGUCCAGACUC
rnacentral:rRNA from 1 species